rnacentral:rRNA from 1 species
GACGAACGCUGGCGGCGUGCUUAACACAUGCAAGUCGAACGGAAAGGCCCUGCUUUUGUGGGGUGCUCGAGUGGCGAACGGGUGAGUAACACGUGAGUAACCUGCCCUUGACUUUGGGAUAACUUCAGGAAAUUGGGGCUAAUACCGGAUAGGAUCUCCUGCUGCAUGGUGGGGGUUGGAAAGUUUCGGCGGUUGGGGAUGGACUCGCGGCUUAUCAGCUUGUUGGUGGGGUAGUGGCUUACCAAGGCUUUGACGGGUAGCCGGCCUGAGAGGGUGACCGGCCACAUUGGGACUGAGAUACGGCCCAGACUCCUACGGGAGGCAGCAGUGGAGAAUAUUGCACAAUGGGCGGAAGCCUGAUGCAGCAACGCCGCGUGCGGGAUGACGGCAUUCGGGUUGUAAACCGCUUUCGCCUGUGACGAAGCGUGAGUGACGGUAAUGGGUAAAGAAGCACCGGCUAACUACGUG